rnacentral:sRNA from 1 species
AACUAGCCCCGAUUGAAGUGGAAAUCCUUUUCUUUUUCUUGAAAAAAGAAUAGAUUGCAGCGGAAAGCGGGAAAUAGC